AGUGAUCUAACUCUAUUGAUGAGCACAACAGUACAUACCAUCCCAUCAUGAUGUUGCCAUCUCUCACACUUGAUGAUUACAUCUUGUUAUUCCUAACAUGUACACCAUCGGGUGAUUGCUUUAUUAGAAAUAUAUUUACACAAUAUGAUCAGAGCAACAUCAAGGAGUCGGACGCUGGUGCACAGAUUCUCCUUAGAUUCCACAUGCAACCCUUGUAGAGCUAAAAAUUCUUUAAUCAAAUAAUUUAAGAAUGCAUCCAUUAUGCAUUCGACAUUAAAGUUAUCGUGUGUGACAGACACCGGGAACAAAGACAAUGAUGGGAUCCCACCAAAUCCCAUUUUUUAUUUUAGAAUAUGGUUGUCCUACCAAUGUGUACUUGCAAGGUUUCUUCCUCCUCACUCUCCCUCAUUCCCUCUCUCGAACACUCUUCCUCCCUCUCCCGGUCACCCCCCCUCUCUCUGGAUCACUCUCGGUCUCCAUGUUGUCUUUUCAACAAGGCUCGAACGGUUCAGUAGCUGCCUUGUGAGCUGGUCAUCAUUGUUGCUGAUUGCACUUGUGCCGAUGAUGAGGAAAACCACCAAGGGUUGUUGAUUCUCUUGAUCUCCUCCCCGAGGUCACUGUGGUCCCUGAUUGGAGUGUUGUUCAUUAACGUCACAACUGCGCCAAGUCCUUCCUGUAUAGGAAAAAAACAGUGUCACACAAAAGGGGCAUAUCGUCAACUUACGACAGAGUGAAAAAAAGAACAGGUACUCGAGGAAGAACAAAUGGUGAAAUAAAAAAUCACCAUUAACCACUACGUGAGAUACCAUCAUUACCUGAACAACUUUUUUCAGUAACAUAAUAGUUGAUAAGAAAAAUAUGCCGCACAGCAUGAAACGCAAAACAUAUAUUUAUUGACGCAAGAUAUACUACAGUGAAAUUUUAUCCAGAAAUUUAAAUUAUCCUAGUAAGCAAAUGCAUUUAGAAUGGUAUUUCAAUUAAUCACAUAAAUGCAGGAAGAAUCUGGAAAAUGGAGAAUCAUAGAAAUGCAUGUAAUUUUUCUGAAAAAAUACCACCAUCGACUUAUAUGUAUAAUCAUUUAAUUGAUGUGCCUAUUUCUCUAGCAAUUUUGUGCAAAGUAUCAACAAGCUAGCAAAAGUGAAGUAAACUAACAAAAGUACGUGCGAUAUUUUGUUGUAUUAAUUAAAACUCACAAGAUGCAAGCUAGGACCUGAGCAUGAUGAACCGGGAGGGGGAAAGGUAUAGUAAGAUUGGCUGAUCAGCCAAGGGCGCAUAACAGGGUUCACAGCAAUUGUUAGGAGGGCCGGAGGCAGGCAAGGACUCAUCGUCUAGCUCCAGCGAGCCGCACAGAACAAGGUUGGCGGCAUGAUCAGCUCGCUUGUUUGUCUUGGUGCGUCCAGAUCUCUCCUCCCUCCUAUUCUCCUUCGCACUGAACUCCUUUCUGCUUUGCUCCCCUGAAACUCUUUACGUAAACUUCAAGUAGCAUGAGAGUUUAGUAGAACAAAAAAUCUAUAUAUCUGAAGAAAUGAUAGUACAAGCAGAAUAGCAGACUAAACUGAAUGGGAAAGUGUUGGUCAUGUAACUAUUGCCAUUUCCAAUAGAUGUACAAUGCACAAAGUGGCAUCAUCUUCAAUUUAUUUAGCUAUCUAUAAUUGGAUUAGCAAGUAUGUAUACAAUCAAAUUCAACAUGAAAAAUUCAGUAGAACCUGAAAAAUUCAUUAACCCACAGCAAAUUUGUAAACCAAAAUUAAGAGUAGUGACAAUGAAUGAAAUAUCUAAGAUGAUGUGGGAAUAUAAAACAAGAAUUUAGCCAGAAGACUAAUUGUACUCACAGGUCACAACAAGGCAAAAGUAAAACAAUAGCUAUAUGCGAAAAUCAUAAACUUCAUGGAUUUGCAAUAAAUAAAUAAUCAGUGAGAGGCGGUACAUGAUCGAAAAAUAUAUAAAUAAUUUAGAGAAAAAUAUCUAAAUAUUUAAACAUAGGAAGACAGAUAUAAGGCAUUAAGUAGGUUACAUGUCUCUAGUUCUGUAACCUUGUGGCUUCCAUGGUGCCAAACAUGUUUUAUGGUUAUUGCAUCAUGCAUGAAACAGAAGGACAACGCCGAGUGAAUUUUUCCAAUGUGAACCGACAUUUUCCUAAGAGUAAAGUUUCUAGAAAAUAAAGUAAUGCAUCGGAUCAAAUAUAUAGUCAAGAUACAUGCAGAAACAACAUCCAUUAAUGAAAAGGCCCAACGUAUUGUCCUACUCCAGACUUACAAGAUACUGGAGUGAGAUCCUCAC
rnacentral:lncRNA from 1 species